CUAGCAAUAGAAGGUCAAUAUGAGUGACCACAACAAAAACCUCGCCCUAUUUUUGUUUCCUGGGAGGAAAAUUCCAGCCUGAGUCACAGGCAGGCGGCUCUGGCAGCCCCCACCUUGCCAGCAGAGAUUCUCCUCCUCCUCCUGCCUGAGGGGCCCAAGGGUGCAGGGGGAGGACCCAUUCUGCUGCUCGCUUAGAGGAUCCCUUUUAAAUCUCUUGUCUGCUUCUCUCUCCCCCAAGGACCCCGCCUGCCCCACCAAGUCCUGCCAAUUUCUUUCCAAUUCUUUGUGUCUGUAGCCCAAAACCUCUCUAGGGGAUAGCGGACUGUCCCCUCUCGGAGUGUGGGGACAGAAUCCAAUCCCCACCCACUGUCCUCCUGCGGGGCGGGCCGGGGACCGCAGCCAACACAGCACCGCCAGACAUUAGGCGUGUGCUUCCCGCGGCCCUGAGCAGACCCUGCCCUGCGCCUCCUCCCUCUGCCUGCUCAUCUCCUUCAGAUCCAGAGUCUUCGGGGGACACAGGACUUGGCCGGUCUGUGGUAAAAUCGACCCAUGGAGCUACCUUCCCAAAAUUGGUUUGUUUACCCAGGUUGCAUUUUAGGAGAAAUAAAGUAAUUGGCAGGGGCCCUGAGGGCCUCCGUAACUCACAUGGGCCUGACCUGGAGGACUGUGCUGACCGCCCUGCCUCGGGUCUGUCUGCUGAAAAUCAUGCUUGGGUGCAGCCUGAGUGUGAUGAGAACAGGAGCACAUCUCCCUGAGCCUUCGAGAGGAAGGACGUCCCCACUGCUUGGAGGUGGGGGGCUGAGGUCAGGAGAAGGGAGAGGAUCCGAGAUGAGAGAUGUCCCUCCUAACCAGGCUCUUCUGCCACUGGUGUUUUGAAAAUACCAUGAAGCACCCAAGGCGGAGACAGGCUGCCGAGCUCGCUGCUGGCUGCAAGCCGCCGUUUCUCCCCCCUGCUUCCUGUCUGCCCACUGUUGCUCUGCUUCCCUUCAGAGCCCCUCUUGCCUCUGUCGCUGUGGCUCAGGCAGUGCUCCUUGUGUUUCUGAGCUCUCUGACUUUUAAUAUUUGACCUUCGCCGAGACAGAAACCUGGCCAGUCGGAGGGGAGGAUGGACGAUGCGGGCUGGCGUCAGGACAGCGGUUUCUUACCCACAGCAUCUGCAUCCGGUUAUCUUUUAGAGACGAUACCAAAUUUAAACUGCAUAAGACUAGGGUAUUUCUCAGAGCCAAACCAUGUGUUUUGUUUUGAUUUUUUUGCCUUUAAAGGCUAAAGCUGGAUUUUUAAGACUUCUAGAAGAGCAAGAAGGUUGGAAGGAGAGACAGAUGUGCUGGCGGAUCACCAGAGCGUGGAGUUAAUUAUUGUCGCUUGUACAAACCUGUCAAUAUUUUUCUUCUCACAUUAAAACUGCACUCUCUCCCCUUGGCUGUGUCAACGAUAUUAACCCAUUGUGACCCUUGAGAGAAGGAGGCAGGGCUUUAUUCGGGGAGAGAAAUACAAAUGCAAAAUAAACAGGGCUACAAUGACAGACUGGAUCUCACACACAAUCAUUCUGAAAAUUUGGGCUGGAUGGGAGGUUGGUGAGAAGGCAAGAAACCCCUGACUCAUCACUGUUUUCUGGCGAGGAGCCCUGUGCUUCACUCUGUUUACGGAAUCUCAGGGCUGAAGGGGAACCUUAAGGACUCCCUCUGCCCCCCAUCUUUCCUGCCCCUCACACCCUCAGCAAGGAUCUUUCUCAGGCCUGCUCGGCCACCCCCGGGUCAGGGACACUCUGUGCUGCUGGAGCCGGCCUUCGUUUGAGAGAAGGUCUGUCUUUCUGGAGCUUCCACACUUUGGGACUGGCCUCUCAGAGCUCUGAGGAAAUGGGGAUUACUCAUCUCUGGCAGCCUGUGAUGACCAAGCCUCAAGUCAGGCCAGAACAGAUGGCCUUUUAACCUACCUGGCUCCCAGGAGCACAGGCCAUUCCUUGACCCUAAGCCCCCAACACAGGGGUGUCCACAAUGGGAGGGCUGACCCACAGCCAACAUUAGCAUCCUCCACGCCCCUGCCCUUCUGAGUGUGGACCACGCACCAGCAGCCUCAGUAUCCCCUGGAGCUCAUUGGAGAUGAAGAAUCUGGAGUCCCACCGUGGACCUGCUGAAUCAGACGCUGCAUUUGAACAAGAUCCAUUGAGCAAAAGCGUUGUCUGCACAUUCAUCUGCACGUUCUCCCUUGCCCAUGAGGCUUGCGAAGGACACUGGCUGACCUUGACCCAUGUGCCUGAUUUGGGGCCCCAGAAUGUUGGUGCAGAGCACUGCUGGGAACCAGUGACCUCGUCCAGGAAAACUGGACUUCCACAGUGGACAUAGUGCUUUCAAGGAGGAAACCUCGAAGGAUGACAAAGACAUCAGGUGAAUGCUUUGAGGACGUCCCCUUGAGGAGGUGACCUUGGGGACGAGCCCUUAAAUCUGCCCCCAAGGCUGGGAGACACAAGCUCAGGAAGGCUGCCGCCCUUCCCCCGUGCAGGCCCUCAGGCCUAGCUGCUGGGAAGAGGUCCAGCGAUGACUAAGAGGACUGUGAGAUUCUGGAGCCUUUGUAAAUUUCCCAAGCUCGUUGUUAUUGCUCUUAGCCUCUAUUUACUCCUGUAAUUUGUUUCAAAAAAGAUUAAUAGUAGUGCAACCACUUUUCGGGGCUGGCUUCCCAAAGACUGAGGAGGGUGGGGGCAGACAGCAGAGAAGUGGGGAGUCAUAUCUCUCACAGCCCAGCCUGCGACCUGGAACAGAAGAGCUGGCACCAGUGCAGAGAAGAGGAGAAGGGGUCAGGAGGCGAAGGAAGGGACUCUCGCAGGCCUGGACCGUGCCUCAGGGUUUCGGAGGCAGAAGGACCAUGCGGUUGACUUCUCAGCUCCCGUCCUGGGAGACUAAUGAGUCAUGGGGGAAGCCCAGGGAUUGCUGCGUGGGAGGAGCCAUCUUGCUCGCUUCCAUUUCUCUUUGGCUCAACCCUUGGAGGAAGUUACUACUGUCAUUCCAAUCUUGCAAAUGAAGAAACUGAGGCUCGGAGAGGGUCGGACUUGGCCAAGGUUCCAAAGUGGUAGCCCUCCCUCUUGCUGAGUGUACGUCCUGGCUUGGACCUCCAGUGCAAUGGUGAACAGUGGGGGAUGUGCACGACUGCGGGGGAAGCGUGUGCUGUUCUGCCGUCAAGCAUAAUGCGGGCUGUAGAACCUUCCUUUAUUCCCAGUUUGCUGAGAAUUGUCAUUUUUACCAGGAAUGGAUACUGAAUUUUGCCAAAUGUCUUUUCCAACUUCUAUUGAGAUGAUUAUAUGAUUUUUCUUCUCUGUUCUGUUAAUGUAGUGGAUUACAUUGAAUGUGAAUGUUAAAUCAAUCUUACGUUUAUGACGAGGUUACAACCUUACAUACAUAAGGCAUAUGGCAAUCAUGGGUUGUCUUUUUUAUGUAUUGAUGGAUUUAAUUUACUAAAGUUUUGUUUAAGAUUUUUGCAUCUAUGCUCAUGAGUAAGAUUGGUCUGUAAAUUGCUUUUACAAAAUGAAUUGCGAAUUAUUUAUUUAUUUGUUUAUUUAUUUUUCUGGAGGAGUUUGUACAAGGUUAGUAUUAUUUCUUCCAUAAAUAUUUAGAAGAAUUUACUAGUGAAGCCAUUUGAGCCUGAAGUUAUCUAUGUAGGAAUGUUUUAUAUUAGAAAUCCAGGGCUGGCCCCAUGGCUGAGUGGUUAAGUUCACGUGCUCCGCUUUGGCAGCCC